rnacentral:rRNA from 1 species
UUAAAUUGAAGAGUUUGAUCAUGGCUCAGAUUGAACGCUGGCGGCAGGCCUAACACAUGCAAGUCGAACGGUAACAGGAAGCAGCUUGCUGCUUUGCUGACGAGUGGCGGACGGGUGAGUAAUGUCUGGGAAACUGCCUGAUGGAGGGGGAUAACUACUGGAAACGGUGGCUAAUACCGCAUAACGUCGCAAGACCAAAGAGGGGGACCUUCGGGCCUCUUGCCAUCAGAUGUGCCCAGAUGGGAUUAGCUUGUUGGUGAGGUAACGGCUCACCAAGGCGACGAUCCCU